rnacentral:rRNA from 1 species
UACAGAGGUCCCGAGCGUUGUUCGGAUUCACUGGGCGUAAAGCGCACGUAGGCGGUUCGUUAAGUCGGAUGUGAAAGCCCUCGGCUCAACUGAGGAAGUGCACCCGAAACUGGCGAGCUUGAGUACGAAAGAGGAUCGCGGAAUUCCCGGUGUAGAGGUGAAAUUCGUAGAUAUCGGGAGGAACACCGGCGGCGAAGACGGCGAUCUGGGUCGAUACUGACGCUGAGGUGCGAAAGCGUGGGGAGCAAACAGG